rnacentral:rRNA from 1 species
AACACAUGCAAGUCGAACGCAGUAGCAAUACUGAGUGGCAGACGGGUGAGUAACAUGUGGGAAUCUGCCUUGUGGUUCAGGACAACAUUGGGAAACCGAUGCUAAUACUGGAUAAGCCCUUACGGGGAAAGUUUUAAUGCCAUAAGAUGAGCCCGCAUUUGAUUAGUUAGUUGGUGAGGUAAUGGCUCACCAAGACAAUGAUCAAUAGCUGAUCUGAGAGGAUGAUCAGCCACACUGGGACUGAGACACGGCCCAGACUCCUACGGGAGGCAGCAGUGGGGAAUCUUGCACAAUGGAGGAAACUCUGAUGCAGCGAUGCCGCGUGAGUGAAGAAGGCCUUUGGGUUGUAAAGCUCUUUUGUAGGGGAAGAUAAUGACUGUACCCUAAGAAUAAGGUCCGGCUAACUUCGUGCCAGCAGCCGCGGUAAUACGAAGGGACCUAGCGUAGUUCGGAAUUACUGGGCGUAAAGCGCGCGUAGGCCGUUGAGUUAGUUAAUUGUGAAAUCCCAAAGCUUAACUUUGGAACUGCAAUUAAAACUGCUCGACUAGAGUUUGAUAGAGGAAAGCGGAAUACAUAGUGUAGAGGUGAAAUUCGUAGAUAUUAUGUAGAACACCAGUUGCGAAGGCGGCUUUCUGGAUCAACACUGACGCUGAGGCGCGAAAGUAUGGGUAGCAAAGAGGAUUAGAUACCCUCGUAGUCCAUACCAUAAACGAUGAUUGCUAGAUGUUGGAAAUUUAUUUUCAGUAUCGCAGCUAACGCAUUAAGCAAUCCGCCUGGGGAGUACGACCGCAAGGUUAAAACUCAAAUGAAUUGACGG